rnacentral:rRNA from 1 species
UGUAUACGAGACGCUACGGCGUCGAAGCAGUCUAUGUCAUACUUCCAAGAAAAGCUUGCACUGUCAUAAACAAAUAAUGCCUGUACCAUAACCGACACAGGUGGGUAGGUAGAGUAUACUAAGGGGCGCGAGAUAACUCUCUCUAAGGAACUCGGCAAAAUGACUCCGUAACUUCGGGAGAAGGAGUGCCUUAUUUAUAAGGUUGCAAUAACAAGAUCCAAGCAACUGUUUAUCAAAAACACAGGUCUCCGCUAAGUCGUAAGACGAUGUAUGGGGGCUGACGCCUGCCCAGUGCCAGAAGGUUAAAGAAGUUGGUUAGCAUUAGCGAAGCUGAUAACUGAAGCCCUGGUGAACGGCGGCCGUAACAAUAACGGUCCUAAGGUAGCGAAAUUCCUUGUCGGGUAAGUUCCGACCCGCACGAAAGGCGUAAUGAUUUGGAUACUGUCUCGGAGAGGGGCUCGGUGAAAUAGACUUGUCUGUGAAGAUGCGGACUACCUGCACCUGGACAGAAAGACCCUAUGAAGCUUUACUGUAACCUGAAAUUGAAAUUGGACUUUAUUUGCGCAGUAUAGGUGGGAGGCGUUGAGAAUAUUCUUGCGGGAAUAUUGGAGCCAUCAGUGAGAUACCACUCUUGUAAUGUUAGAUUUCUAACUUUGAAUCAUUAUCUGGUCAAAGAACAGUUUCAGGCGGGCAGUUUGACUGGGGCGGUCGCCUCCUAAAUGGUAACGGAGGCGCACAAAGGUUUCCUCUGAACGGGUAGAAAUCGUAUCUAGAGUGUAAAGGCAUAAGGAAGCUUGACUGUGAGACCUACAAGUCGAGCAGGGACGAAAGUCGGUCUUAGUGAUCUGACGGUGCUGAGUGGAAAGGCCGUCACUCAACGGAUAAAAGUUACUCUAAGGAUAACAGGCUGAUCUCCCCCAAGAGUUCACAUCGACGGGGAGGUUUGGCACCUCGAUGUCGGCUCAUCGCAUCCUGGGGCGGUAGUACGUCCCAAGGGUUGGGCUGUUCGCCCAUGAAAGCGGUACGCGAGCUGGGUUCAGAACGUCGUGAGACAGUUCGGUCCAUAUCCGGUGUAGGCGUUAGAAUAUUGAGAGGAGCCUUCUUUAGUACGAGAGGACCGAGAAGGACAUACCUCUGGUGUACCAGUUAUCGUGCCAACGGUAAACGCUGGGUAGCUAUGUAUGGAGAGGAUAACCGCUGAAAGCAUCUAAGUGGGAAGCCCACCUCAAGAUAAG